UGGGAUGUCGUCUAGUGGUAGGACAACGGAUUCUGGUUCCGUCAGCGGGAGUUCGACUCUCUCCAUCCCAG
rfam:Coriobacteriaceae bacterium BV3Ac1 contig00001, whole genome shotgun sequence.